CUAGAUAUUGACAAAUAGGCACAAAUUCCGGCCAGUAGUCGGCAGUUCCGCACAACGAUUUUUUCUGAGGCUGUCGCUGUGAAGCACAGGAGAAGUUCGCCGCAGACUUUUUCUGCAGAAAUCGCUGGAUGCGACGAUCCUCAAGAAUCGGCAUCCCGAACUGAACCAUUUGCUGGAUGUUCCCGUUCACCGCCAGCUCAGAAGCUUUCUACAUUAUGCCGAAGUGUCGACGGGCAUUGAAGGCCAUUCACGCUCAACCGAUACAUAAUCUUAAUGUUGUGCGCCUGAAAUGUUUGAUAGAUAUAGUGGUGCUCAUCUCGCUAAGGUACACGUUUUAUGGCGCCCUAUAGCACAGAAGUCAUUGCACUAUUUUGAAAAAUCACCCAGCAGUCGAAAAUUUCCAGUGUCCAAACCUUGUCAAGCCCCCUUAAAAUCUGAGAUUAGCCGGGGCGGGGCACUCUGCUACAGCGACUGCUCCCGGACUGGACUUCACCAAAAAUGUGUUGUGCACUCGGACAGCGGCACAGCGAUGGAGGUGAGGGUAUUCGGCUAAGACAACUACGACAAUUCUGGGUGGUGAUAUGCUGGUUCGUCCACAAGAAUUGCAGUCAAAAGCUCAGCAAUCCGUUGCCAAAUAAAUUUUAAGUUUUGCAUGUUGAAGAGUGGAAUGUUCUAUUUGCCAGGGUCCGCAGCAGAUUUUUUUACUGGGUACUCAUAAAGAAGAAGGAAGUGUUUGUGACGAUCCCAUAAAGUGUACAUACUCUUGAGUCGGACGCCGCCUAGGGCACCCGUGGGCCUUAUGACACUGGGCG